UUAGCUCAUAUUUGUAUGGAACGGGAUCGUUUGCGUACGUUUGUCGCUAGGGGCGCUGUUUCAACUGCAUACAAAAUUGGGUUA
rnacentral:pre_miRNA from 1 species